GGACGUGGAUGAGCGGUAGGGCGUCUGCUUUGCAGGCCGGAGGCCCCUGGUUUGAUCCCGGGCAUGUCCU